rnacentral:rRNA from 1 species
AUGAACGCUAGCUACAGGCUUAACACAUGCAAGUCGCGGGGCAGCAUGGGGGUUGCUUGCAAUCCCCGAUGGCGACCGGCGCACGGGUGAGUAACGCGUAUCCAACCUGCCCUUCACCACGGGAUAACCCGGCGAAAGUCGGACUAAUACCGUAUGUUGUCCAUUGACGGCAUCCGAUUUGGACGAAAGGCUUGGCGGUGAGGGAUGGGGAUGCGUCCGAUUAGCCAGACGGCGGGGUAACGGCCCACCGUGGCUACGAUCGGUAGGGGUUCUGAGAGGAAGGUCCCCCACACUGGAACUGAGACACGGUCCAGACUCCUACGGGAGGCAGCAGUGAGGAAUAUUGGUCAAUGGGCGUAAGCCUGAACCAGCCAAGUAGCGUGCAGGAUGACGGCCCUAUGGGUUGUAAACUGCUUUUAUGCGGGGAUAAAGUGGCCCACGUGUGGGCUUUUGCAGGUACCGCAUGAAUAAGGACCGGCUAAUUCCGUG